AUGCGGUUCACACAUGAAGGGCAAUGGAUUACACUCAAAGGUAUUCGGUCCACACCAUGCAAAUGCAAACUAGUCUCUGUAGGCAAGCUGAAAGGGUUGUUGCGUCGUGGUGCAGUUCAACAAGCAGUGCAGAUCAAGCACAUUCAUCAGGAGAGGGACCUGGUAGCUAUCCAGGUAUCAAAGACAGACGAGCCCGUGCCCCCAGAGGUGCAGUCGCUGCUACAGGAGUUUGAGGACCGUUUCAGUGUGCCUUCCACACUUCCCCUGCAUCGAGCCGAUGAUCAUACCAUCCCAUUGAUUCCGGGAGCACAGCCGGUCAUUGCACGGCCGUAUCGGUACACCCCCCAGCAGAAGGAUGAGAUCGAGCGAUAGAUCAAAGAGAUGCUUCGAGUAGGGAUUAUCCGCCCCAGUACAAGCCCCUUUGCUGCUCCAGUCCUGCUUGUUCGCAAGAAAGAUGGCUCAUGGCGUUUCUGUGUCGACUAUCGACAGCUGAACGCGAUCACAGUUAAGAACAAACAUCCCAUGCCUGUGGUGGAUGAACUGCUCGAUGAUCUUGCAGGUGCCAAGUGAUUCACCAAGUUAGACCUACCCUCCGGUUACCACCAGAUCAGGGUCGCAGACGAAGAUGUGUUCAAAACAGCUUUUCGCACGCAUCAAGGGUUGUAUGAGUUCCUGGUAAUGCCGUUUAGGCUGUCUCGCGCUCCUGGCUCAUUUCAAGGGAUGAUUCAUAAGGUUUCACUACAAGAAAUAUGUCAACUUGUGACCACCACUAUUGGUCACUGA
rnacentral:rRNA from 1 species